rnacentral:rRNA from 1 species
AUUGAACGCUGGCGGCAGGCCUAACACAUGCAAGUCGAGCGGAUGAAGGGAGCUUGCUCCUGGAUUCAGCGGCGGACGGGUGAGUAAUGCCUAGGAAUCUGCCUGGUAGUGGGGGAUAACGUCCGGAAACGGGCGCUAAUACCGCAUACGUCCUGAGGGAGAAAGUGGGGGAUCUUCGGACCUCACGCUAUCAGAUGAGCCUAGGUCGGAUUAGCUAGUUGGUGGGGUAAAGGCCUACCAAGGCGACGAUCCGUAACUGGUCUGAGAGGAUGAUCAGUCACACUGGAACUGAGACACGGUCCAGACUCCUACGGGAGGCAGCAGUGGGGAAUAUUGGACAAUGGGCGAAAGCCUGAUCCAGCCAUGCCGCGUGUGUGAAGAAGGUCUUCGGAUUGUAAAGCACCUUAAGUUGGGAGGAAGGGCAGUAAGUUAAUACCUUGCUGUUUUGACGUUACCAACAGAAUAGGCACCGGCUAACUUCGUG